UCUUCAUUUCACACACUCUCUCGCCUCUCUGACCGGUGAGAGAGUGUGGGAAAUGAAGAGA
rnacentral:pre_miRNA from 1 species